rnacentral:rRNA from 1 species
UACGUAGGGUGCAAGCGUUAAUCGGAAUGACUGGGCGUAAAGGGUGCGCAGGCGGUGUAUCAAGACGAAUGUGAAAGCCCCGGGCUUAACCUGGGAAUGGCAUCCGUGACUGAUACGCUAGAGUAUGGCAGAGGGAGGCAGAAUUCCACGUGUAGCAGUGAAAUGCGUAGAGAUGUGGAGGAAUAUCGAUGGCGAAGGCAGCCUCCUGGGCCAAUACUGACGCUCAUGCACGAAAGCGUGGGGAGCAAACAGG